rnacentral:rRNA from 1 species
AGUAGGGAAUCUUCCGCAAUGGACGAAAGUCUGACGGAGCAACGCCGCGUGAGUGAUGAAGGUUUUCGGAUCGUAAAGCUCUGUUGUUAGGGAAGAACAAGUGCAAGAGUAACUGCUUGCGCCUUGACGGUACCUAACCAGAAAGCCACGGCUAACUACGUGCCAGCAGCCGCGGUAAUACGUAGGUGGCAAGCGUUGUCCGGAAUUAUUGGGCGUAAAGGGCUCGCAGGCGGUUUCUUAAGUCUGAUGUGAAAGCCCCCGGCUCAACCGGGGAGGGUCAUUGGAAACUGGGAAACUUGAGUGCAGAAGAGGAGAGUGGAAUUCCACGUGUAGCGGUGAAAUGCGUAGAGAUGUGGAGGAACACCAGUGGCGAAGGCGACUCUCUGGUCUGUAACUGACGCUGAGGAGCGAAAGCGUGGGGAGCGAA